UACGUAGGGUGCGAGCGUUAAUCGGAAUUACUGGGCGUAAAGCGUGCGCAGGCGGUUUUGUAAGCCAGGUGUGAAAUCCCCGGGCUCAACCUGGGAAUGGCAUUUGGGACUGCAAGGCUGGAGUGCGGCAGAGGAGACUGGAAUUCCUGGUGUAGCAGUGAAAUGCGUAGAUAUCAGGAGGAACACCGGUGGCGAAGGCGGGUCUCUGGGCCGAAACUGACGCUGAGGAGCGAAAGCAUGGGGAGCAAACAGG
rnacentral:rRNA from 1 species